rnacentral:rRNA from 1 species
UACGAAGGGUGCAAGCGUUACUCGGAAUUACUGGGCGUAAAGCGUGCGUAGGUGGUGAGUUAAGUCUGAUGUGAAAUCCCCGGGCUCAACCUGGGAAUGGCAUUGGAUACUGGCUCGCUAGAGUGCGGUAGAGGGUGGUGGAAUUCCCGGUGUAGCAGUGAAAUGCGUAGAGAUCCGGAGGAACCCCAGAGGCGAAGGCGGCGCCCUGGCUCGCAACUGACGCUCAGACACGACAGCAUGGGGAGCGAACGGG